rnacentral:rRNA from 1 species
UAGGGAAUCUUCCACAAUGGGCGGAAAGCCUGAUGGAGCAACGCCGCGUGUGUGAUGAAGGGUUUCGGCUCGUAAAACACUGUUGUAAGAGAAGAAUGACAUUGAGAGUAACUGUUCAAUGUGUGACGGUAUCUUACCAGAAAGGAACGGCUAAAUACGUGUCAG